GAUGAACGCUGGCGGCGUGCCUAAUACAUGCAAGUCGAGCGAACAGAUAAGGAGCUUGCUCCUUUGACGUUAGCGGCGGACGGGUGAGUAACACGUGGGUAACCUACCUAUAAGACUGGAAUAACUCCGGGAAACCGGGGCUAAUGCCGGAUAACAUUUAGAACCGCAUGGUUCUAAAGUGAAAGAUGGUUUUGCUAUCACUUAUAGAUGGACCCGCGCCGUAUUAGCUAGUUGGUAAGGUAACGGCUUACCAAGGCAACGAUACGUAGCCGACCUGAGAGGGUGAUCGGCCACACUGGAACUGAGACACGGUCCAGACUCCUACGGGAGGCAGCAGUAGGGAAUCUUCCGCAAUGGGCGAAAGCCUGACGGAGCCACGCCGCGUGAGUGAUGAAGGUCUUCGGAUCGUAAAACUCUGUUAUUAGGGAAGAACAAAUGUGUAAGUAACUGUGCACGUCUUGACGGUACCUAAUCAGAAAGCCACGGCUAACUACGUG
rnacentral:rRNA from 1 species